rnacentral:lncRNA from 1 species
GCUUGCCAGUGCUCCCUUUGUAAUCUUGCAAAUACCAGACAGUUAAAUUAGAAGGGGAAUUUUUUGACUGGAGAUGCAGAAAGGACAGAGAUCCUGGAGGCGGGCUUCAUAACUUCAUGCCUCAUCUUGAUCUAAUCCUAGGAAAGGAUGCAGAUAUACCUUGUAUAUUUUAAGACUUAUUUCUUUGGACUGUUAUAUUGUUUUUUAGCUUUCUAGAAAACCAACAGUUAUGGUGCCUUUCUCAUCACAAUUCAACACUAUGAUUCUCAGGUAUUAACUGCUGCGUGAAAUGUUCCUGGGGUUAUUAACCUGGACCUCUGUCAAAGAGUAAAUAAAGAUCCUGUGAUCAACCCAACUCAUUCAAGGCCUCCAAAGAAGAGCUACUUUUUCAAUUUGGACUUGUCCCUCAUUUGUGUCAGGGGAAGAGCAGAACAGGUUCUUAUCCAAGUAUUCAAGGUGAAUGCUGGUUCCCACUGCCUCCACUCCCUGUCAGCUUGUCAACUCAAAAAAAAAAAAGUCUCUUAUCAGCUGAGAGGAGGAAAACAAUGACAAUGGGAGGUCAAGAAAGCUAUGGGUUUUAAAGAAGUAGAGCUCUAGUAUGGUUCAGUGCAUCUCCACAGCUAAAUGGCAUUGACAUAAAGUUAGACAAGGAUAUACAUUUCACAAUAAGAUGAAGUGACUGAACCAGCUUGUGGUUGCUGCUUAGGUAUGUAACAUCACCUACUUAAACCUUUUUUAAAUUCCAUAU